UAACAAAUAUAAAAAUUAAAAAUUCCAACACUUCUAAACUAAAAUUUGUUUUUUUACAAUUUUUGAAAAUUGAUAUAACACAGUAUUUUAGUAUAGAAAUUUUCGGUGAUCCGCAAGUUUCUAAAUUUUUUAAAACUGAAGUAUUAUUUUGGGAAUUAUUCCAAAGUUCUCAGAAUUGGGUUAUAUAAAGGUGGGUUAAAAAUUUAAAAGAUUCUUUUAGAGUCUUAGACUGAUUUUUCCAGAGCUCGAAAGCUCUCGCACAGCUCCAAGAUUUUAGGAGUUGAAAGACUUGAGCAAGCAAGGAUCUAGAGAUCCGAUAAGAAUCUCGGAUUUAUUGCGUGAUGUAUUUAGAUUGUAAUUGUUUUUACACGUUUAAUAAACAUCUUUUUAGUAUAUAUAUCUACAAAGUUGUUUCAUUCCCUACCAAGCUUAUGAAAUACACAGCUAUUGUACAUUUAUAUCUAUGCGAACUACGUAAAAGCGUUCGAACGAAUUAUAAUGUGUUACACGCAAGACUGUAAGUAGUAUUUUUAAGAUUUAAUUUUUCCUAUAAUUUAUUAUAUACAAUACAAAUUUACACAUACGGCGCUAAUUUAUGUGUUUAUUACUCUGUUGGUUCCUUUAUAUUUUAGUUUAAAAAAAUGAAUCUCCUUAUCCUGCGGCCGUCCUUCUCGUAUAUCUCAGGAGAAAUAGUCAGAAUCCUUCUUCCGAAACCUAGAUAGUCUAAAUAUUUUUGUUUAAAAAAAUCUACAAUUCCUUUAUCCUGCAGCCGUCCUGUAUAUUUCGAGAGAAAUAACCAGAAUCCUUCUUCCGAAAUCCAGAUAGUCUAAAUAUUUUUGUAUAAAAAAUUCUACAAUUUCUUUAUCUUGCGGCCGUUCUUUUCGUAUAUCUCGAGAGAAAUAACCAGAAUCCUUCUGAAAUCUAAAUAAUCUAAGUAUUUAAUAAGAAUUUUUUUUUUCUAAAAUUUAUGCUACUUUAAAUUUU